CAGUAGCCGCGGUAAUACGAGGGGUGCAAGCGUUAUUCGGAUUGAUUGGGUGUAAAGGGUGUGCAGACGGCUUAUUAAGUCACUUGUUAAAUUCUUCGGCCUAACUGAAGGUCUGCAAGUGAUACUGAUGAGCUAGAGGGUGGAAGAGAGAAGUGGAAUUCUCGGAGUAGCGGUAAAAUGCGUAGAUCUCGAGAGGAACACCAAUGGCGAAGGCAGCUUCUUGGUCCAUUCCUGACGUUCAUACACGAAAGCGUGGGGAGCGAACAGGAUUAGAUACCCCGGUAGUCCCUGUCUCUUAUAC
rnacentral:rRNA from 1 species